rnacentral:rRNA from 1 species
UACAGAGGGGGCAAGCGUUGUUCGGAAUUACUGGGCGUAAAGGGCGCGUAGGCGGCCCGCUAAGUCGAACGUGAAAUCCCCGAGCUCAACUCGGGAACUGCGUCCGAUACUGGCGGGCUUGAAUCCGGGAGAGGGAUGCGGAAUUCCAGGUGUAGCGGUGAAAUGCGUAGAUAUCGGGAGGAACACCAGUGGCGAAGGCGAUCUUCUGGACCAUUUCUGACGCUCAGACGCGACAGCUAGGGUAGCAAACGGG